CAGUUUUUUAACAGCACUUGUUCAGUCUGUCAGGAUGAAGACAAGUGACAGAAACUAUGAGCCAGACCUUUCUGGACUGAACCCAGAUAUGGAGCAAAAAAAUGCAGCUCACAAAUGAAAAUGUGACUGGAAGCUCCUCUGCGAUCCUAUCCUGCUCUUACAGUGACAAACAAACUGAAGUCAAGACAAGAAAAGACUCAAUGACAGCAGGAAUAAGACAUUAUUCAGAUAAAUGAUUCACUUCAGAAUCCAGAAUUUUCUCAGAGGAGUUUAAGAAAUGAAGAAUCAUUCUCAUACUCAUUUGCUGCUUCAUCGGUGUACUUUCGGUGGUCAUAACCAAAGUAUCUCUGCAGGACACAGUAGAGGCCAUUAUUGGUGGUUCUGUUGUUCUGCCGUGUUCUUCAACUGAACAUUAUCUUAAACUUCAAGACAUUAAUGUGCACUGGAGACACAAUGGCAGCAAGAUUGUGUAUGAUAUAGUCAAGGGUGAAGAUUCAGUAGUGUUACAGGACCAAGAGUACAAGAACAGAGCUGAAAGUUUCCCGCCUGAGUAUCUGAGAGGAAACUUCUCCAUCAAACUGAACAAUCUUCAACACACUGAUGCAGGAACAUAUAGCUGCUAUAUCACGCCUUCAUCUGAACAGAAGACUGUAGAGCUGAUCAUCAACGAAUCAACAGCAGAAACAGGAAACAAAUCCACUAAUCAAGGAAACCAAGGAGAAGAUACAGUGUUUACAUUGUAGUGUACUCAAAAAUUUAAUUGUGAUUUAAUCGUAGCACCCAUUAUGCAUCUAAUCAAAUCAAGUAAAAUUGGACUGCUUUGAAUAUGUUAUACGAACACAAUAUUCAUUUGUAGAUUAAACAUGAUUUAGAU